UAGUUUAGUGACUGAUGUGAAAUGAGUUUCAUGGUGCUAAUAUUUUGUGUUUCAUCCCAGUGAUCUGUCAAGGCAGACGUCAUCCACAGGUCACCUCUGGUCUUCACAUUUCCUUAUGAGAAAACAAGAGUCACCGACACUUUCUGUACCGUCGUCACCACAGUCUGUAUCCACAACAUCAAACAAAAGUUGGCCUUUAUUUCUCUGUUGCUAAUGUCUAUGGAGAGGCUCUCAUGGACUUCAAAGGAAUUAGGAUUUGUGCCUUCUGAAAGUGGUCACUGUAGGCCCACUGUGACUCCCACCUGUAAAAAACCUUCCAGCAAAAACCACCCAGAGCACCAGCUGGUUGAAAAGACCUCAUCUCCAUCUCCCUGCCCACCUCUGCUAAUGUGAACACUGAAAUAUUCAGUAACAGACUUGAAGUAAAACUUGAAAAAAUG
rnacentral:lncRNA from 1 species